GUAGCAGAAUACAGAGAGCAUUGCUGAAAUGCCAGAAGCUACAUACGAUAAAACUAUCGCUGGUCCGGCAUGCUCAUGAGCUUCUUGGCCAGUGAGUACGAAGAUGCCUGCUCCAAUAACAGAGCCAAAACCAAACCAGCUCGGUCCUUGAAUCUGGUAAAUGUUUGUGACAGUGCUGCUUGGUAUGCGCUCCAAUUCUGGAAAGAAUCUUCUGGGAAGAAAUCUUGCUUGCUCCAUCUCCAGUAACUUCUUGGUUGAAUCUCAUCUCCCACUUCACCUACAGAGUCCAUUACUAUUAUAUUCCUUUCAGGACUCAUUGUACUGUUACAGAACGCUAGUAAUUACUAGCUCUGUAGCUCACUCUGGAUGUCCGUUGAACUACUGUCUAUAGGAUCAUUCACUUUAUGGAUGGACUCCCA